GAUGAACGCUGGCGGCGUGCCUAAUACAUGCAAGUCGAGCGAACGGACGAGAAGCUUGCUUCUCUGAUGUUAGCGGCGGACGGGUGAGUAACACGUGGAUAACCUACCUAUAAGACUGGGAUAACUUCGGGAAACCGGAGCUAAUACCGGAUAAUAUUUUGAACCGCAUGGUUCAAAAGUGAAAGACGGUCUUGCUGUCACUUAUAGAUGGAUCCGCGCUGCAUUAGCUAGUUGGUAAGGUAACGGCUUACCAAGGCAACGAUGCAUAGCCGACCUGAGAGGGUGAUGGGCGACACUGGAGCGAGGACACGGAACGGAGGACUAAGGGAGGCAGAAGUGGGGAAUCUUCGGCCAUGGGCGAAUGCCUGACAGAACAAAGACACGGGAGUGAUGAAGUUCUUCGGAUCGGAAAACUAUGUUAUUAGGGAAAAACAUAUAUGUAAGUAAAUGUGCACAUCUUGACGGUACCUAAUCAGAAAGCCACGGCUAACUACGUG
rnacentral:rRNA from 1 species